CCUACGGGAGGCUGCAGUGGGGAAUAUUGGACAAUGGGCGAAAGCCUGAUCCAGCCAUGCCGCGUGUGUGAAGAAGGCCUUCGGGUUGUAAAGCACUUUCAGUGGGGAAGAAAGCCUUGGGGCUAAUACCCUCGAGGAAGGACAUCACCCACAGAAGAAGCACCGGCUAACUCCGUGCCAGCAGCCGCGGUAAUACGGAGGGUGCGAGCGUUAAUCGGAAUUACUGGGCGUAAAGCGCGCGUAGGCGGUCUGAUAAGCCGGUUGUGAAAGCCCCGGGCUCAACCUGGGAACGGCAUCCGGAACUGUCAGGCUAGAGUGCAGGAGAGGAAGGUAGAAUUCCCGGUGUAGCGGUGAAAUGCGUAGAGAUCGGGAGGAAUACCAGUGGCGAAGGCGGCCUUCUGGACUGACACUGACGCUGAGGUGCGAAAGCGUGGGUAGCAAACAGGAUUAGAAACCCGAGUAGUC
rnacentral:rRNA from 1 species